CGGACGGGUGAGUAAUGUCUGGGAAACUGCCUGAUGGAGGGGGAUAACUACUGGAAACGGUAGCUAAUACCGCAUAACGUCGCAAGACCAAAGAGGGGGACCUUCGGGCCUCUUGCCAUCGGAUGUGCCCAGAUGGGAUUAGCUGUGGUGGGGUAACGGCUCACCAGGCGACGAUCCCUAGCUGGUCUGAGAGGAUGACCAGCCACACUGGAACUGAGACACGGUCCAG
rnacentral:rRNA from 2 species